UCGGCGCCGGCGACGGACGCCGACGCGACGAUCCUAAUGAACGGACGGUGAGAGAGCACGUGGUGAAGGAGUUUGAACUCUGUUGACUUAGACAAGUCAACAGAGGUAAGGGUACUGGGCUUAAGUGAUAGGACCCAUGAGAAUUUCUUUUCAUACACCAGAUGUUCUUGAUACAACCCCCUGUAGUCUUCAAAGGAAUUGAAAACGGGCUUCAUGAGGCCCAUUAGUGUUUUCACUGAUUCACCAUCUUUCACUACUACACCCCCAGUGUCUGUGAGAAAGAAAGUGUUUGGGCUUCCACAGGCCCAUUGAGACUUUGCUUGUUUCCACUCCUGAACUUCUGGUGCAC
rnacentral:lncRNA from 1 species